UUUCAGGAACCCGUGUAUCAGUUGUCUUGCGUUGUUGCAACCUCUCUGUUUUCUGGGAAGUUUAAAUGUGUCACCAAGAUGUUGUUUCCGGCUGAGGACAUUUGGUUGUGCCCACUGAACUUCGGUGCACACUGGAUCCUUGUGGUUGUCAAACCUAAAAUAGGUUUGACAACCUAGUGUGGAAAAUGGAGACUCUGCCACACAACAAGCAGAUGGACUCCAGCAGUUGUGGAGUUUUAGUGUUGAAGUUUGCCGAACACUACCUUAUGAGUGGAGAGGUUACUAGGGUGCUGUCCACUCCAGAAGCCAUUGGGCUGCAACGCACAGAAAUUGCUUGCGAACUGCUAGAACAUCAAAGUAAUGCUGAUGACUACUGUGUGGUUUGUUCCAUGCUGGAAGCCAAUCCUGAGUCCAGUAUGAUUGAAAUGGUGCAGUGUGAGUUUUGUCUCAGAUGGGCACAUUUUGGAUGUGCUCAAUAUGAGAGCAGCCUGGUCAAGUACUUGUGCGACAAAUGUGCAUAAUUGUUAUGAAUACUGUUUAUUUUCCACUUCUUUCUCCCUGUGUUCUGUUGGAUAUGUAAAUAUCAAAUACAUAUGCUGUCAGUCACAGUAAAGUACAAAGAGCAGCCUGGUCAAGUACUUGUGCGACAAAUGUGCAUAAUUUGUUAUGAAUACUGUUUCUUUUCCACUUCUUUCUCCCUGUGUUCUGUUGGAUCUGUAAAUAUCAAAUAUAUCUGUAAAUAUAUUCAGUAAAUAUAUACUGUAACUAUAAUGGAGUGAGUUCAUUGUCAAAGUUUAUAUAGUCAAGUGUUCCAAUCACUUCAAUGGUGACAGCUGUAUAACUUAAGCACCUUGGCAUGCAGACUGCUUCUACAAACAAGUGCCAAAA